ensembl:lncRNA SMPD4BP sphingomyelin phosphodiesterase 4B, pseudogene
AGCUAAGGACCACUCCCUCCCCCCGCACUCCUGCCUCGCCAUUUCCCCUCCCUGGCCGGCCGGCCGGCCUUCUUCGCUUUGCGCACGUACCUUUUGAGGUAACGGCCCAAAGAGGUAGAAGCGCUUUUCCCGCCCGGCCGCGGGGCGUGGCUCUGCGCGCAGCUUGAUGACGACGUUUUGGCGCGGUGGCGGAAUGGCGGCUUCCACCUCUGAAGCGGGCGACGCUAUGGGUCCCACAGUGGUUUGCUAAGAAGGCCAUUUUCAACUCUCCAUUGGAGGCUGCUAUGGCGUUCCCUCACCUGCAGCAGCCCAGCUUUCUACUGGCCAGCCUGAAAGCUGACUCUAUAAAUAAGCCCUUUGCACAGCAGUGCCAAGACUUGAUUAAAGUAAUUGAGGAUUUUCCAGCAAAGGAGCUGCACACCAUCUUCCCAUGGCUGGUAGAGAGCAUUUUCGGCAGCCUAGACGGUGUCCUCGUUGGCUGGAACCUCCGCUGCUUACAGGGGCGUGUGAAUCCUGUGGAGUACAGCAUCGUGAUGGAAUUUCUCGACACUGGUGGCCCAAUGAUGAAGUUGGUUUAUAAGCUUCAAGCUGAAGACUAUAAGUUCGACUUUCCUGUCUCCUACCUGCCUGGUCCUGUGAAGGCGUCCAUCCAGGAGUGCAUCCUCCCUGACAGUCCUCUGUACCACAACAAGGUCCAGUUCACCCCUACUGGGGGCCUUGGUCUGAACCUGGCCCUGAAUCCAUUCGAGUAUUACAUAUUCUUCUUUGCCUUGAGCCUCAUCACUCAGAAGCCACUCCCUGUGUCCCUCCACGUCCGUACUUCAGACUGUGCCUAUUUCAUCCUGGUGGACAGGUACCUGUCAUGGUUCCUGCCCACCGAAGGCAGUGUGCCCUGCCACUCUCCUCCAGCCCAGGGGGGACCAGCCCCUCACCGCCUCCCAGGACACCAACCAUGCCCUUUGCUUCCUAUGGCCUCCACCACACUAGCCUCCUGAAGCGACACAUCUCUCAUCAGACGUCUGUGAAUGCAGACCCCGCCUCCCACGAGAUCUGGAGGUCAGACACUGCUCCAGGUGAGAGUUGAGCUGGUCAAAAGAAACUGUUCAGCCAGCUGGGCAUGGUGGCUCAUGCCUAUAAUCCCCAGCACUUUGUGAGGCCGAGGUGGGCAGAUCAUCUGAGGUCAGGAGUUUGGGACCAACCUGGCCAACAUGGUGAAACCAUGUGUCUACUAAAAAUACAAAAAUGAGCCGGGCACGGUGGCAGGCGCCUGUAAUUUCAGCUACUCAGGAGGCUGAGGCAGGAGAAUCACUUGAACACAGGAGGUGGAGACAGCAGUAAGCUGAGAUAGUGCCAUUGCACUCCAGCGUGGGUGACAGAACUGGACUCCAUCUCAAAAAAGAAAAGAAAAGAAAAAAGAAACUGUUUAGCCACCUUCCACUAUGUGGGGCAGAGUCCCAGAGGCGGCCCCUCAGCCCGGGGCUGAUUCUAAAUUGUUGGUAUUUUCCUGCUGUGACAUUUAGAAAACAUGAAAGUAAAUCUGCCCACCCUUC